rnacentral:rRNA from 1 species
UACGUAGGGGGCAAGCGUUGUCCGGAAUCAUUGGGCGUAAAGCGCACGUAGGCGGUCUGUUAUGUCGGAUGUGAAAGCCCUUGGCUCAACUGAGGAAGUGCAUCCGAAACUGGCAGGCUGGAGUACGUAAGAGGGUCGCGGAAUUCCCGGUGUAGAGGUGAAAUUCGUAGAUAUCGGGAGGAACACCGGUGGCGAAGGCGGCGACCUGGGACGAUACUGACGCUGAGGUGCGAAAGCGUGGGGAGCAAACAGG